rnacentral:misc_RNA from 1 species
GUAAUUGUUGAAGUACCCCCAGCAGGCAAGGACAUGAAUGGAGCACCUGUUCUGGAAUCUGAGAUUGUAAAUGAUGUUACACUUUCUGAUCAUAGGAUUUUGGCUGGAAGGAAGAGGAGAGCUACCAACAUUACUCAUCCUGAUUCCCUAGGACAACUGGAGUUGGAAAAUAACAAUAAGAAACAAAGACAACAAGAAAUUUCUAGGGACCCUACGGAAGAUGAU